GGAGUAGUCGCACUAGUCAGCGUUUGAAAGGGAGGAGGACUGGUUGACCUCAAACCCUUCACCAUCAGCGACUUUGACGAGGACGCCUCCCUCGCACGGAGGAGGUCAGGGGUUCGAAUCCCCUUCGCUCCA
rnacentral:tRNA from 1 species